CCUCCCUUAGGUGAAUCCUGCGGAGGGAUCAUUACAAGUACGCCCGGGCUUCGUCCUGGUUAUUCAUAACCCUUUGUUGUCCGACUCUGUUGCCUCCGGGGCGACCCUGCCUUCGGGCGGGGGCUCCGGGUGGACACUUCAAACUCUUGCGUAACUUUGCAGUCUGAGUAAACUUAAUUAAUAAAUUAAAACUUUUAACAACGGAUCUCUUGGUUCUGGCAUCGAUGAAGAACGCAGCGAAAUGCGAUAAGUAAUGUGAAUUGCAGAAUUCAGUGAAUCAUCGAAUCUUUGAACGCACAUUGCGCCCCCUGGUAUUCCGGGGGGCAUGCCUGUUCGAGCGUCAUUUCACCACUCAAGCCUCGCUUGGUAUUGGGCAACGCGGUCCGCCGCGUGCCUCAAAUCGUCCGGCUGGGUCUUCUGUCCCCUAAGCGUUGUGGAAACUAUUCGCUAAAGGGUGUUCGGGAGGCUACGCCGUAAAACAACCCCAUUUCUAAGGUUGACCUCGGAUCAAGUAGGGAUACCCGCUGAACUUAAGCAUUUUCAUUAAG
rnacentral:rRNA from 1 species